rnacentral:rRNA from 1 species
UACGGAGGGUGCGAGCGUUAAUCGGAAUUACUGGGCGUAAAGCGCGCGUAGGUGGUUUGUUAAGUGGGAUGUGAAAGCCCUGGGCUCAACCUAGGAAUGGCAUCCCAAACUGGUAGACUAGAGUACAAUAGAGGGGUGUGGAAUUUCCUGUGUAGCGGUGAAAUGCGUAGAUAUAGGAAGGAACACCAGUGGCGAAGGCGGCACCCUGGAUUGAUACUGACACUGAAGUGCGAAAGCGUGGGUAGCGAACAGG